rnacentral:lncRNA from 1 species
UCAAGUUUCAGUUUGAAAAGAUCUAAUAACAACAAUGCUUGCCGCUAAAGUUUUCUUGCUUUUAGGCUUUGCCUUUUUCGUCUCAGCUGGUAAGUUAUCAGUAGUAAUUGCACAAGAGCUCUAAAAUUAUUGAAUUUUUCCCGAGUGUCACUUUGGCAGUUUUAAUUUCACGAGCCGAAGGCGAGUGAAAUUAUGUCAAAGUGUCACGAGGGCAAAAAUUCUAUAUUAAUUUUAGAGUUCGAGUGCAAGUUGUUGCGAUUAUUUCAUGAAUAAACCUGUUCAAAACCAAAAUUUUAUUGUAAUUUAUAUUAAGUACCAAUUAGUGAAAUUAAACACACAGUUGUUAUAAAUAUGUAUUUGACGGUUGAAAGUCAUCACUUUUAUAAUUUUUAAAACAUUUGUCAUUAAUGUCACUGAAUGUAUUUUUUCGUAGUAACGAAGGGCAUCUGACGUAAUAUGCUUAACGACGGGAGAUUAUCAAAAAUUAUCACCUUAAUUUGCAUGUCUGUAGCUUUCUAUUGGUCAGAAUCUCCUAUGAAUGAAAUAAUCAAUAAUAUUUUGAAUUCGAAAUAUUACGGACAUACCUAUAUAUUAUGUAUUUGUAGGUAUGUUUAACCAAUAUCAUAUAAAAAUCUAUAAAAAUCAAAGUUAUAAGUUUUGAACCUUAUUAUUUUCUUUUACUUCUAGAUUAAUUUUUCCAACACCAUUUCCCAAUGAGUAAUCUAAGUACUAACUAGAGCUAAGACGAUCUUAAAUGGAAUGAUCGAAAAAAAUCGUAAUUUGGUGUGGUUUAAAGGCUGUAUGACACUAUGCAUUUUCUUGUAUUAUUUCUAAUAUCGUUUCUGAUAUCGUUUCUUGUAUACAUUUUCUUGUAUCGUUUCUUGUACGUACCUACAUUUGUGCCCUGUAUGACACUAUGCAAGUUCUUGUAUCGAAAAUUGCAUGAAAUUCGGCACGUGAUUGGUCGAAAUUUUGUUUGCAACCCUGCGCCUGCGACACGUUACAUUGGUAGUACUGCGUACUGCCUACCAUGCUCCGCUCACUCAAAAUAAAAACAUGUAAUCGUAUUUAUUUUCCUUCCAUUUAGUGAGAGGCGCUGAUGUCGGCAUUGUGAUUGGUGGAACAUGACUUUUGACAAAUCCUGCGCUAUCUGUGAAUCUGUAAUCUGUGUUCGUGUUCGUUCGUUCGUUGUCGUUCACUUAUUUUAUAUGGUCGGUUAUGUGAUGUGUUUGUGUCACCAUAAAAAGCUGAUAUUCAGUCGUGUUUUUUAAUAUUUUUGUUAUUUCAUAAUCGAGUACCUUUUUAAAGGUAAGUUUUUCUGAUUGUAGGUACUGUUUAUCCAACAGUUUUAAAAUACACAUCUUAUUUCGCGUUUUGUUUUGUUGUUAGGUCUAAUGGCUCCGUUCAGCUGUUGUAUGCAGACGGUGGAAAAAUUCGACAAGUAAACAUUUAUUUAAUCCAAAUUACUCAUAUUUCUAUGUAAAAUGUCACAUUAUUGUAUAAAUAAAUAAGUAAGAAACAAAAGUUGUUUGUGUUUUACCUUUAUUGUCCACUUGAAUAAAUAAAAUAUUAAAUAUUGGAAGUACCGUAUGGAGGCUAUGAUGUACCUAGCAUGGAGGCUAGAUUAUGCCACUCUUCCUAUCCAAUCAACAACAAGAACGUUUAAAAUUUCACACCUAUCAUGUAGAAGCUACAGACCACUUAUGUGGAAGCCAGAUUUGUAGUAUCCUUCCAAUUAACCAGGUGCUGAAAUACGUGACAUAUUUUUUGAAGGGUAAGAUCGCAUUCUACCAAAUCACACAACACUUUUUUCUAUGCUGCCUACUACAGCGUCAGCCGUCAGCCGAUGUUUGUUUGUUUUUUACUUUGUAGCGUGGUUUUUGUUUUAGUUUCUAUUUGGAGAAUUUUUAAAUUAAAAAAUAUUUAAUUUAAUAUUUCAUUUAGAAAAUGUCGUGGACCAGAGAACAGGUAAUAAAUUUGGUCGAGCUUUAUGGACAACAUAGUAAUCUAUUUAAUGUGAAGUCGGCAUUAUACAAAAACCGAUAUGCCCGGCAAAGCUCGUUAGAGAAAAUUGCUGGAGAGCUGUGUGAGGUGAGACCAGGCACCACAGCAGUGGAUGUUUCAAAAAAAUUCAACUCACUUAGGGCAACCUAUUUGGCCGAAGCCAAGAAAGUAGCAUCUUCCCUAAAAAGUGGUGCAGGUGCGGAUGAUAUUUAUAUAUCAAACCUUUAAUACUUUAAUGAGAUCGACAAAUACAUUCGUGGGUCUGGGAUCGAGGCUAUAGAGUCAGAAGACUCAUUGAACAACCAACCAGCUUCUUGUUCGUCAUCAAGUGCUAUCAGCGAAAUAUUCAACUGCAAUGAAAAUGUAGAACUUGUUGUGGAAAAUGAAGAAGUCUCUGAUUCACAGCUAGUAGAUGAACAAGAUGCCAAUUAUCAGGACAUUCUCUCAUUCCAAGUGGAUUCUUUAAGUCCCAACACAAAUCCUGCAGUCACACCACAUUUAUCUCGUGGACAUAAGAGAAAGCACGGAGAAGAGAAAGCACGGAGUGAUAAGGAUGCUUUUGCUGGAAUGAGGGAUGCUGUAACUGGUCUUAUUAAUACGUAUAAGAAUAGAACAGCAGUGCCCGAAGAGCCUAAGCAAGAUGCUACAGACCACUUUCUCAUAUAUUGUGGGUCGAGAAUUAAAGAGAUAAAAUGUCCGAACAUUAAAAGCAGAUUAGAAUCAUCAAUUUUCCAAGCGGUACAAGAAGCACUGAUGGAAGAUAGAAACAAUGUAUAAUUUUUUGUAAUUAUUUGUUUUUUAAUUAAGUAUAUGUUUGAAUCACA